rfam:Myotis brandtii contig236216, whole genome shotgun sequence.
GGCAGUUCUUGGGUGAUGCACCCCAGAAUUGGGCUCCCUCCUCUCUGGUUCUGGGUGCGUCACCCGAGAACUGCA